rnacentral:tRNA from 1 species
UGGCUGAUGGUGUAAAGGCAGCACAGGUGACUUUGACUCACCUGGUCUAGGUUCGAAUCCUGGUCAGCCAA